UACAGAGGUCUCAAGCGUUGUUCGGAUUUAUUGGGUUUAAAGGGUGCGUAGGCGGGUUAUUAAGUCAGUGGUGAAAGCCUUCAGCUUAACUGAAGAAUUGCCAUUGAUACUGAUGAUCUUGAGUAUGAUUGAGGUGGGCGGAAUGUGUCAUGUAGCGGUGAAAUGCUUAGAUAUGACACAGAACACCGAUUGCGAAGGCAGCUCACUAAGUCAUAACUGACGCUGAUGCACGAAAGCGUGGGGAGCAAACAGG
rnacentral:rRNA from 1 species